rnacentral:rRNA from 1 species
AACGAACGCUGGCGGCAUGCCUAACACAUGCAAGUCGAACGAAGCCUUCGGGCUUAGUGGCGCACGGGUGCGUAACGCGUGGGAAUCUGCCCCUUGCUUCGGAAUAACAGUUAGAAAUGACUGCUAAUACCGGAUGAAGUCUUCGGACCAAAGAUUUAUCGGCAAGGGAUGAGCCCGCGUAGGAUUAGGUAGUUGGUGGGGUAAAGGCCUACCAAGCCGACGAUCCUUAGCUGGUCUGAGAGGAUGAUCAGCCACACUGGGACUGAGACACGGCCCAGACUCCUACGGGAGGUAGCAGUGGGGAAUAUUGGACAAUGGACGCAAGUCUGAUCCAGCAAUGCCGCGUGAGUGAUGAAGGCCUUAGGGUUGUAAAGCUCUUUUACCAGGGAUGAUAAUGACAGUACCUGGAGAAUAAGCUCCGGCUAACUCCGUG